ACGCGAAGAACCUUACCAGCGUUUGACAUCCCGCGCUAUCACGAGAGAUCGUGAGUUCCCUUCGGGGACGCGGUGACAGGUGCUGCAUGGCUGUCGUCAGCUCGUGUCGUGAGAUGUUGGGUUAAGUCCCCGCAACGAGCGCAACCCUCGUCCUUAGUUGCCAUCAUUUAGUUGGGCACUCUAAGGAAACCGCCGGUGAUAAGCCGGAGGAAGGUGGGGAUGACGUCAAGUCCUCAUGGCCCUUACACGC
rnacentral:rRNA from 1 species